rnacentral:rRNA from 1 species
UACGAAGGGUGCUAGCGUUGCUCGGAAUCACUGGGCGUAAAGCGCACGUAGGCGGAUUGUUAAGUCAGGGGUGAAAUCCUGGAGCUCAACUCCAGAACUGCCUUUGAUACUGGCGAUCUUGAGUCCGGGAGAGGUGAGUGGAACUGCGAGUGUAGAGGUGAAAUUCGUAGAUAUUCGCAAGAACACCAGUGGCGAAGGCGGCUCACUGGCCCGGUACUGACGCUGAGGUGCGAAAGCGUGGGGAGCAAACAGG